CAAUGUGAUUCUAGGACUGCUGGAUCCUGGGAAAAGUGUAUGAACAUCUUCUGGAUCUAUUGCUCUGAUACUUCUAUUGAGGAUUGCAACUGUCUUGAGGAUAGACUGGGAGUCUACAUAAUUAAAAUAAGCAUGUCCAUGGCACUUCUAAUAACAGAACCCUACUUUCCUUUGGAAAGCUCACUUCUUGUCAUUCAAGUGAUGGGUUGGACCUGCCUGUGGCUACAUGUGAUCUUAUGAUCACAGCUGACCAAUCAGAAUACUCCAUCUUUAUUCCAACCUUAAUGAUUGGAUAAGUAUAUGACCUAAGAAAAGCCAGUCAGCACAUCUGAUCCGAUUUGAUAAAAUCUUGUUAAUGAGAGUCUUUCUUCCUUUUAAUCAAAAUUAAAAAGGAUAUAUUCUUGGUGUUCGUUUUCCUCCCUUGCUGAGAACCUGGCUGUCUGAGAAAUAAACCAAGAGCAAACAGGGCAAAAGGAUACAGAAACAAAGCCCUAAGGAUAUCACUUGAAACCCUGAAUCUACCUGUACCUGAAGCUGAUCAUCCUUCAAUGGAUAACUACAGAUUUCAAAAAAUUCUCCUUAUUAUACUUAAGACACUUCGAGUUAGAGUUCCAACCCUUGUAACCAACAGAUUCCUAACUAAUAAUAGUAUGAUGUUACUUUCUAAGUUACUGCAAGCUACUGUGUAGUAUCUUUUCUUAGUUUUAGGCAACUAUCAGGUAAUAUGAAGCAAGAGCAAAUGAAUAGUCAGAUCAUUAGAGAUAUCUCAAUUUUCUUUUCAACAAUACUUCUGAGAGCCUGAAAAGAAAAACAAGGUUCAAUUUAAUUCCAUUGCAAUAUCAAGGUAACUAUGGUUUUCUACAUAGACACUCAGCUAAGUUUAUGCAAAUUCUUUCUGUAUCAUGGAAUGUUAGAAUAAAAAAAAGACCUUGGAGUGCAUCUUACCCUGUCCUCAUUUUAGAGAUAAAGAAUCUGAAGUCUGACAAUAUUGAGUGAAUUGUCAACUAUCAUACAGCUAGUUAGUGACAAUAUUGGAAUGAAACCAAAGUCUGCAUCCAUAAUUUAACAGAAAUUAUAAAAUUAUACCUAUUAUAGUAUUCACAUUAUUCUAAGAUGAAGUGAGGGGAGAACUUAAUAGAAUAUUAUCAUUUUUAAAAUAGGAAAUUAGGUUAGUAAAGCACACAAGUGAUUCUGCUUGUUUAUCCUUUGGGAUAUCUCUAUUAAUUCUUCUGAAAUGAGGAUGUUCUAAAUGAGCCAAAAUUCCAUUAAACACACACAAAGAUAAAUGACCUGAAAUGGUCUCUUUGUAAUGCUUUUGUGUUUUCUUUCUAAAUAACUACCAGAUAGAAAAUAAUAAAAAUAAUGAUACUCUAAUGAGAGCUAGUAAAUUCUAUUAGAUAUGAAAGCUAAAUUGUAAUCUAAGUGAAAAAAUGUUGAUAUAAAAAAUGGUUUUAUUUUGGAUAAGAAUGGCCCAUCAUUCUUCCUCUAAGUUGAUAGGCCAUAUCUAAUAAUAACUGAAUUCCAGGAACCAGACAAUACACUUAAAGAAUUCUAAUA